CCCUUAGAUGUUCUGGGCCGCACGCGCGCUACACUGUUCGACGCAGCGAGUCUUAACCUUGACCGAAAGGUUUGGGUAAUCUUCAGCAAAGUCGAACGUGAUGGGGAUCGAUCAUUGCAAUUAUUGAUCGUGAACGAGGAAUUCCUAGUAAGUGCAAGUCAUCAGCUUGCGCUGAUUACGUCCCUGCCCUUUGGACACACCGCCCGUCGCUACUACCGAUUGAAUGGUUUAGUGAGAUCUCUGGAUUGACGCUGGCUAGGGGGCGACCCUUGGCCAGACUGUUGAGAAACUGCUCAAACUUGAUCAUUUAGAGGAAGUAAAAGUCGUAACA
rnacentral:rRNA from 1 species